rnacentral:rRNA from 1 species
AGUACGUGAAACUGCUUAGAGGUUAAGCCCGAUGAACCUGAAUAUCCAUUAUGGAAAAUUCAAUAUUAAGAAUAUAAUAUUUAAUUAUAUUGUAUGAAUAGUAUGCAAUUUUUCCAUAUAAGGACAUUGUAAUCUGUUAAUGUCUUAAAUAUUUAUCAAAAGAUCUUUUACUUAAGUUUAUUUAAAUUGUUUAUUUUCGGAUAUUCAACAUAAAAUAAAUGUUUAAGAUUUGAUAAAUCAUUGACAGAUAUAAUUAUAUAAAAUGCUCAAAUUCUUCGGAAUUUUACAAUGAUAAGUAGAUCUAUUGGUUUAUUUGUUAUUGCAUGCGUUUUUAUGAUUAACAAUGCGAUAGAUUCAGGAUACCUUCGGGACCCGUCUUGAAACACGGACCAAGGAGUCUAACAUAUGUGCAAGUCAUUGGGUAUUUUUAAUAAAACCCAAUGGCGUAAUUAACUUAACUGAUUAAUAAUGGGAUUAAUUUAUAUUUUGUUAUGAUUUAUUUAUUCAAUCCCGGGGCGUUCUAUACAGUUAUGCAUAAUGAUAUUUAUAUUAUUUAUGCCUCUAACUAGAGC